rnacentral:misc_RNA from 1 species
AGGAGAUUGAAUGAGGGAUGCAUCUUUUGAACUGCUUAAGAGCUAGAAGAUUAGGAUAUCCCAACCCAUGAACUUGAGCAGGCAAACCAUGGAAACUAUCCAUCUAAGAAUUUUGGGAAUAAAUCCCUAACCCAAGUCAAUUUGGGUGUGAGGGUCAAAAUGGGUUUUAAAAGUUCUAUCUCUUCUUUGACCUAUCUUCACUUCUUAGACCAAUGGCAGAAUUGAGAGAUUUUUUAUGGAAGGACUUACAAAUAAAUGGAAUCAAAAGUUAAAAAUGUACUAAUGAGUUUCUUAAAAUAGAGGGACUGACUAGUAAACAUGGGCAAUACCCAGAGAACUUUGGCUUAAUUCACCCUUAAUAUAAUUGCUUUGGUUGCUUGAAAAUCAUUUUAUGAUCCAUUUGAAUAGAUAAGAAUUUUAAAUAAAGUGGUAUUUGAAAUUUGACAUCAUGUUGAUUGUUUUAUGAUUCUUCACUUGAAAGUUGAAACACAUCCAAAUCCACGUUUAUUUCAAAUGCAGUCCUAGCCAAAUGAACUCUUUUGCAAUUUCAAGUACUUAGCAAGAUUUCUUGGACUGAAUCUCAA